AAAUUUGUUGGCUGCUUGAGCUGGGAUAUUCAUCUUUCUCCUGAUCUUGGACAUCAGAACUCCUGAUUCUCAAGCCUUUGGGUUUGGACUGGAGGCACCAGCUUUCCUGGGCCUCCAGCUUGCAGAUGGCAUAUCAUGGAACUUCUCAGCCUCCAAAUUCAUAACUCUAAUACACCAGUACAAUGGAAAGAUUCCUAAAUUCAAAAGCCAGAAGGCUGGGUUCCUGUUCCCACCCUGCCUUUUACCUUCUGUGUGUUCCUGAUGAAGACACUUCAUGCUCCACUAUUUACUUACCUCUGAAACGAAGGGCUGACCCAGAUCAGUUGUUCUCUGACCUGCUUGGAGGGACUCAGAGGCUGUGGAGACUGUGGCCCUCCUUGGCCUCUGUGGAAUCUGGCCAUUUGAAUCCUGUCAGCCCUGUUCUCCAUCACCAAAGGACUCCGGAGGAACUGUGCCAAGCAGGCUGUCAGCCACGGGCAAGCUUUCUGAAAAAGACGUGCCAACUGCAGCCACAGAAAGUCCAUUCCCUUGAAUAACUUUGCUAAUAUUUGAAAAUUAGUUCCCUUGCUCCUG
ensembl:lncRNA LINC01559 long intergenic non-protein coding RNA 1559